GCUCUGUGAGCAGUCCCGGCCUGCCGGCACACCGCUGGCCCACAUCCCAGAAUUCCCCGAUUUUCAGUGCAGGGUAGCAGGCUUGGAAAGGCUGAUGUCGCACUUUGGAAAUGGUUAAUGGUCUGUGUCGGAAGCUUGCCCCCCAAAGAAAUGGCGCAGAAAAAUGGAGGAGCUUUAAGAGAGGGGAUUAGGUCAUUGGAGAAGCACCAGCAGAAGGGAUUAGCUUCCCUCAUAUCUAGCAGACUGGCAGAAAAGAGCAAAUGCAGCUUCUCCCCGCCCCCUUACUUCCUCUUUCUCCAUCUUACCCUUUGUACAAGCUCCUACUAUAUGAUGACAUCACUGUGCCAUGACCCAGCAGAGCCCCUUGGCAGGUGUGGUCACUCAGUCUAGCUGUCAGGACUGUGUGCUGAAUAAACCUUUUCUCUAUA